GAUGAACGCUGGCGGCGUGCUUAACACAUGCAAGUCGAACGAUGAAGCCCAGCUUGCUGGGUGGAUUAGUGGUGAACGGGUGAGUAACACGUGAGUAACCUGCCCUUAACUCUGGGAUAAGCCUGGGAAACUGGGUCUAAUACCGGAUAGGAGCGUCCACCGCAUGGUGGGUGUUGGAAAGAUUUGUCGGUUUUGGAUGGACUCGCGGCCUAUCAGCUUGUUGGUGAGGUAAUGGCUCACCAAGGCGACGACGGGUAGCCGGCCUGAGAGGGUGACCGGCCACACUGGGACUGAGACACGGCCCAGACUCCUACGGGAGGCAGCAGUGGGGAAUAUUGCACAAUGGGCGCAAGCCUGAUGCAGCGACGCCGCGUGAGGGAUGACGGCCUUCGGGUUGUAAACCUCUUUCAGUAGGGAAGAAGCGAAAGUGACGGUACCUGCAGAAGAAGCACCGGCUAACUACGUG
rnacentral:rRNA from 1 species